rnacentral:rRNA from 1 species
UAAGCACGAAACUUGCCCCGAGAUGAGUUCUCCCUGACCCUUUAAGGGUCCUGAAGGAACGUUGAAGACGACGACGUUGAUAGGCCGGGUGUGUAAGCGCAGCGAUGCGUUGAGCUAACCGGUACUAAUGAACCGUGAGGCUUAACCUUACAACGCCGAAG